rnacentral:rRNA from 1 species
GACGAACGCUGGCGGCGUGCCUAAUACAUGCAAGUCGAGCGCAGGAAAUCGACGGAACCCUUCGGGGGGAAGUCGAUGGAAUGAGCGGCGGACGGGUGAGUAACACGUAAAGAACCUGCCCUCAGGUCUGGGAUAACCACGAGAAAUCGGGGCAAUACCGGAUGGGUCAUCGGACCGCAUGGUCCGAGGAUGAAAGGCGCUUCGGCGUCGCCUGGGGAUGGCUUUGCGGUGCAUUAGCUAGUUGGUGGGGUAAUGGCCCACCAAGGCGACGAUGCAUAGCCGACCUGAGAGGGUGAUCGGCCACACUGGGACUGAGACACGGCCCAGACUCCUACGGGAGGCAGCAGUAGGGAAUCUUCCACAAUGGACGAAAGUCUGAUGGAGCAACGCCGCGUGAACGAUGAAGGCCUUCGGGUCGUAAAGUUCUGUUGUAAGGGAAGAACAAGUGCCGCAGGCAAUGGCGGCACCUUGACGGUACCUUGCGAGAAAGCCACGGCUAACUACGUGCCAGCCGCCGCGGUAAAAC